AUUGAACGCUGGCGGCGUGCUUAACACAUGCAAGUCGAUCGGUAACGCGGGGGCAACCCUGGCGACGAGAGGCGGACGGGUGAGGAACGCUUGGGAAUCUGCCCUUCAGCGGGGGACAACCCGGGGAAACUCGGGCUAAUACCGCAUACGCUCCACGGAGGAAAGCCGGGGACCGCAAGGCCUGGCACUGAAGGAUGAGCCCAAGUCGGAUUAGCUAGUUGGCGGGGUAACGGCCCACCAAGGCGACGAUCCGUAGCUGGUCUGAGAGGACGAUCAGCCACACUGGGACUGAGACACGGCCCAGACUCCUACGGGAGGCAGCAGUGGGGAAUAUUGGACAAUGGGGGAAACCCUGAUCCAGCGACGCCGCGUGGGUGAAGAAGGCCUGCGGGUUGUAAAGCCCUUUCGGUAGGGACGAAAGCUCUCGACCUAACACGUCGGGAGGUUGACUUAACCUACAAAAGAAGCACCGGCUAACUCUGUGCCAGCCGCCGCAGUAAAAC
rnacentral:rRNA from 1 species